AACCUUUGCAAUGUGCGCAAGCACGACAAGGUUAAUCCGAGUGUUUCCUGCUAAAGGAAUCUUUUGUUAGUCGUAAAACCACUAGUGAAUAAGGGGUGGGCAAGUUCUGGUGUCAGCCGCCGCGGUAAAACCAGCACCUCAAGUGGUCAGGAGGAUUAUUGGGCCUAAAGCAUCCGUAGCCGGCUCUGCAAGUUUCCGGUUAAAUCCAUUCGCUCAACGAAUGGGCUGCCGGAAAUACUACAUAGCUAGGGAGUGGGAGAGGUAGACGGUAUUCGGUAGGAAGGGGUAAAAUCCUUUGAUCUAUUGAGGACCACCUAUGGCGAAGGCAGUCUACCAGAACACGUUCGACGGUGAGGGAUGAAAGCUGGGGGAGCAAACCGG
rnacentral:rRNA from 1 species